GGGGGCAUAGCUCAGUUGGGAGAGCAGUAGACUGAAGUAAAUCGUAUUCUAAAGGUCCCGCGUUCGAUCCGCGGUGCCCCCA